rnacentral:lncRNA from 1 species
GUUUAAAUAGUGUUUAUUUCCAAGGUAAUUCAAUUCAAUCAAUAAUUUGAAUUGGUUUCAGAUCUUUUCCUUCAGGUAAUGAGAAAACACUGUGUUAUGGGCACACAUUUUUAAUGUUCAGAAACAAUUGGCCUUUCCAUAAGGAAAUUACAUGGAUUGGGAUUUCUUUCAAACUAAUUUAGUUGUGUUGACCAUUAUUAAACUUAAGUGACAUUCAUUUGGAUUAAGUAGUAAUUUUAAAAUGUGAGGCUUUCUAGUGAUUUUUUUUAUUGAGACAGAGUCUCAUUCUGUUGCCCAGGAUGGAGUGCAGUGUCUCAAUCUUGGCUCAUUGCAACCUCUGCCUCCUGGGUUUGAGCAAUUCUCAUGCACUGGCCUCCCAAGUAGCUGGAAUCACAGGCACUUGCCACCACACCUGGCUAAUUUUUGUGUUUUUAGCAGAGACGGGGUUGCACCAUGUUGGCCGGGCUGGUCUCAAACUUCUAACUUCAAGUGAUCCGCCCACCUCAGCCUCCCAAAGUGCUGGGAUUACAGAUGUGAGCCACCACCUCCAGCCAUUUUCUAGUUAUUUUUAAUCCUAGGCCAUUUAUCUAUCACUGAUGAGCCUUCAUGUAUGUACUUUAAAACAAAAUAUAUACAAAUCUUGCACUGGUUUGAAGAUUUUAGUAAUGAAAAGUUACCCAAUCGGUUGUCAGUAUGUUAUCUAGAAACCAAUCUUAGAAAUGUGUGAUGACGUUUUUUCAAAAUAGCUGAAAAGAAAUUAUUCUGUGCCUGCUUUUACUUUGUCCUUGUUUUGUCCUAUAAUAUUAAGUGAAGGGAGAUUAUUUAGCCUCAUAUUGAAUUUCCAAAACUGAUAUUUGUGUUUGCCAUUUUUUAAUGAUGGAGAGAAAAGUUCGUUAUCUUACUUUGAUAAGUUUGACAUAGGAUCUAUCACUUUUUGAAGCUUUUGGUGACAGUUGUCACUAGAAUGCUAGCAAUUAGAUAUAUGCAAUGAAUAACUUGGUUACAUUAAUAAAAUGUCUUGAAGUGCUGCAGACAGUAACUCUUGGACACCAAAUCACAGUGUUUUCAUUUGUGACAUGUUAGAGAGAAUGACAGUACUUUCUGUGGUAUAAAUAUCCCAUUACCUAAUGCUAGUUCUGUUAAGUUUCAGGGCUUUGACUCCUGAGUCUGAAAAAGCCACCACCCUCUGCUAAAUCUUAAGCAUUAAGACCAGUUGAAGUCUCAUCUUCAGACUCAGUAGAAGAUGACAAUCAAAAUGAACUGUUUUCAUGAGACAUGGGUCCAGGAAUAAAAACCACUCAAUCCCUCUAGGCCCAGGGACUAUCAAAGUAGAGGUGGUUGCCUGAGACUGUAAGGGCUGAUUUUGAGGGAGAAGAUUAGUUCAGUUUUUCUUUUUGUUUGUUUGAGACAAGGUCUCCCUCUGUCACCCAGUGCAGUGGCGCCAUCACGGCUUACCACAACCUCUGCCUCCCAGGCUCAAGCAAUCUUCUCACCUCCACAUCCUGAAUAGCUGAGACCACAGAUGCACACCACCAUACCUGCCUUGGCCUCCCAGGGUGCUGGGAUUACAGGUGUGAGCCACCACACUGAGCCUGGAGUUUCUCUAUAAAUCAGACAUUAAUAUCAAAAGCACACUGAUGCAUGGCCAGCUUUCAGAAGACCUGUCUUCAGCCAGGUGUGGUGGCUCACACCUGUAAUCCCAGCAUUUUGGGAGGCUGAGGUGGGUUGAUUCCUUGAGCUCAGGAGUUCGAGACCGGCCUGGGCAGCAUGGCGAAAACCUGUUUCUACCAAAAAUACAAAAAUUAGCUCAGUGUGAUGGCACAUGUGCCAGUAGUCCCAGCUACUCAGGAGACUGGGGUGGGAUGAUCACUUGAGCCUGGGAGGUUGAGGCUGAGAUGGGAGAAUUGCUUGAGCCCAGGAGGUU